rnacentral:tRNA from 1 species
UCCCAUGUGGCUCAGUUGGUAGAGCAUGGUGUUUGCAAUGCCAGGGUUGUGGAUUCGAUUCCCAUGAGGGAC